rnacentral:hammerhead_ribozyme from 1 species
GCACUGCUGAGGAGUCCCACAAUAGGACAAAACGACCGUCCAGUAC